GGAUGUGAAGGAGAUCUGGCUGUGUCAUCUGUCACCCUAGAAAUCACCAGGGUUGAUUCUGCUGAUCUGGCUGACUAGGCUGCUUCCUCCCUCACCAUUCCAUGUGAAAUUCUCCUGAUGCUGUGUGCUUGGUUGAAGAGCAGGAUGACCUUCCCCCAAAAGAGGAGGUCUAGUCUUUGGUCAAGGCUAUAUGAGUAGCUGUACUCCCCUGCUAGAACAUCCAAGCAAGCUCUCAAAUAUAUGAGCAAACUUAAAAAAAAAAAAUGUGACAGCAAAAUCAGAUAAAAUAAUAACAUUU
rnacentral:snRNA from 1 species